GUGGAAAGUACUGGCUUGUGCCUUUUAGUGACAGGAAGGAAAACAGUAUAGUAAGGCAUUUAACGCAGGGUAAUGAUCCAAUAAGUUGAAGGAAAUCCUGCCCAAAGGAGGAAUAAUGAAGUGGAUGGCAUGAAGAUGAAGGCCAGGGGGUGCUGGAGUCCAGGAUCUCUUUAAAGCAGUUCAUGUGCUCUGAGAUUUUUCCUCCACUUGUACAAAGAGGAUAUCUACGACUUUCUUAAUUCAGGAAAGCAAAGAAACAUGCCUCACUCCUCCCACUGGCUGGAAACAAACGUAGAAUGCCAUAUCUCUUCAGAAUGCUCUCAAUAGGCUAAGCUCAUGAAAGUCAUUUUACUGUUUCUUCAGAGUGCUCUCAACAACUGAGUCAUCAGUGAGGAAAAGGAUGGAGGGAAUAGAGGAAAGAAAACUGCAAAAAUAUGACAGAACUGAUCAUAAAAGAGGUGGUUUUUGAAAUAGAUUUGAAAGAUAAUCAUUGUCAUUAUAUACGCUGAAGGACAGAAGCUGAGUUCAUGAAAAAAUGUAUGAAGCCAUGAGUAAAUAGCAGUGUUAAAGCAAGAGGUAUGGAUGAGAGCUAGGAUUUGAGAAGAAUCAUACUCUGGAAAGUCAGAAGGCAUAAUCUGUGGAAUGUAAUCUCUUGUUUCCAAAUACUCAGUCACACCUUGCUCCUCCUAGCCUUAUCUCCUGGUCAGUUAGCUCUAGCAGGGACAUAAGUCACUGGAAAACAUGUAGAAGAGGUUCAUGUAGGAGUCUCAGUGAUUAAGAUUAUUUUCAGAGCAGCAUGUUGUAUUGCCUGGUAUAGAGCAAGACAAAAGCAAAUGCUAAAAUGACACUAGUUAAAAUAAAGACAGUAAGAGUUCAGAAGGCUCUUAUUGUAGCGAUGCAAUAAGAAAAAGACAAGGGAAUUUUGUGAUUAGAGAUUGAAAGAGAAAAUGAAAAUACAUUGAUGAGGGAGAAAAAAGUGCCUACAGAGCUGUUUACCCAAAUAAGAUAUUGGAAACAGGGAAGUAAAAACAGCUUUUCAUCAGUCUAAGCAGACCUAGAUAAACAGCACAAGCAAUAUGGUGGAAGGAAGAUCCAGACGUUCUAAUUCAUGUUCACAAAAGCUUCCCACAGCAUGCUGUCAGUGGCCUUUCCAAGGUGCGGAACUAAGAGCAAAGCAUGCUCUUUCUUGCCUGGAAAGGUGGAUGACAGGCAAGUUGUCGCUAUGUUUAUUCCUGUAUUGUGAAGAUAGCAAGAAGCCACAGAGUUUCUUGGCAACCCUUACUUUUGUCCUGAUCGCAGAUGAAUGGAAAAAAUAAAGCAGAUGGAGGAAGGUUUCAUCUGAACAUAAAGAAAAUGUACUGUGCAGAUGAACAAGCACUGGAACAGGUUGCUCAAAGAGCUUGUGGAGUCUCCACCUCUGGAGAUAUUGAAAGGCCAUCUGAACAUGGUCCAGGACAGCUUGCUGCAUGUGGCCCUCCCAGUGCAGGAGGACCAAGUGACCACCUUCCAAUCUCAUCCACUCUGUAACUGAUUCUGUUCAUGAAUCUAUGGAGAUUUUAAACUUAUGUCCCAGCAUUUCCUGUGGUUCUGUCUUAAUUUCAGCUGGGACUGAACUGUUUUCUUCAGAGUCUGCUAUGAUGGCAUGUUUUAGUUUUAGGAGAAAAACAAUGUUGAUAACACACCGAUGUUUGUAGUUGCUGCUGAGCAGUGUGGUACAGAGCCAAGCCCAUUCUCAGUGAAGGCCCCAAGGAACUGGGAGGGAACAGAAUUAGGACAGCUGACUUAAACUGGACAGAGGAAUAUUCCAUACCACAUGACAUCAUGCGGAAGGAGAGUUUUGAAGGGGAUGGGAGUACAUCUCACCCUCGCUUGUUGGGAGGACUAGCUGGGCAUUGGUCAGGGGGUGUUUAGUACUUGCUUGUGCAUUACUUGUUGUAUACAUUCCCAUGUAUAUUUAUCAUAAUUAUUAUACUUUUCCUUUUCUUUAUCUUAGUAAAUUGUUUUAUCUUAACUCGCAAGUUCCAAUUUUUUUCUUUUCCUUUCAAUUCUCCUUCCCAUCCCACUGGGAAGGGGGAGUGAAUGAAUGACUGUGUCAUGCUCAGCCACCUGCCAGGUUAAACCACAACAGUCAUCUUGGUGUCCAGUGUGAGGCUUGUCACAGGGAUUGGACUGACCAUAGCACUGGUUGUAAAGGGUUGUAUUACCCACAGGACCAAAAGACUCUUGUGGUUCUGUUCCAUCCCAGCUCCUUGGGCCCCUUGUGGAGCCCUUGGGCUCUGUACCACGCUGCUUAGCAGCAACUAUAAACA